rnacentral:rRNA from 1 species
GCACAAGCGGUGGAGCAUGUGGUUUAAUUCGAUGAUACGCGAGGAACCUUACCUGGGCUCAAAUGUAUGUUGACGUAUUCUGAAAGGGAUACUUCUUCGGACAAUAUACAAGGUGCUGCAUGGUUGUCGUCAGCUCGUGCCGUGAGGUGUCGGGUUAAGUCCCGUAACGAGCGCAACCCCUAUCAUUAGUUGCCAUCAGGUCAAGCUGGGGACUCUAAUGAAACUGCCUACGCAAGUAGUGAGGAAGGUGGGGAUGACGUCAAAUCAGCACGGCCCUUACGUCCAGGGCUACACACGUGCUACAAUGGCCGAUACAGAGGGCAGCUACCUGGUGACAGGAUGCAAAUCUCCAAAGUCGGUCUCAGUUCGGAUCGGAGUCUGCAACCCGACUCCGUGAAGUUGGAUUCGCUAGUAAUCGCGCAUCAGCCAUGGCGCGGUGAAUACGUUCCCGGGCCUU